rnacentral:rRNA from 1 species
CGCGGCCUAUCAGCUUGUUGGUGGGGUAACGGCCCACCAAGGCGACGACGGGUAGCCGGCCUGAGAGGGCGACCGGCCACACUGGGACUGAGACACGGCCCAGACUCCUACGGGAGGCAGCAGUGGGGAAUAUUGCGCAAUGGGCGAAAGCCUGACGCAGCGACGCAGCGUGAGGGACGACGGCCUUCGGGUUGUAAACCUCUUUCAGCGGGGACGAAGCGCAAGUGACGGUACCCGCAGAAGAAGCACCGGCUAACUACGUGCCAGCAGCCGCGGUAAUACGUAGGGUGCAAGCAUUGUCCGGAUUUAUUGGGCGUAAAGAGCUCGUAGGCGGCUUGUCACGUCGGGUGUGAAAACUCGGGGCUUAACCCCGAGCCUGCACUCGAUACGGGCUGGCUAGAGUGUUGCAGGGGAGACUGGAUUUCCUGGUGUAGCGGUGAAAUGCGCAGAUAUCAGGAGGAACACCGGUGGCGAAGGCGGGUCUCUGGGCAACUACUGACGCUGAGGAGCGAAAGCGUGGGGAGCGAACAGGAUUAGAUACCCUGGUAGUCCACGCCGUAAACGUUGGGCGCUAGGUGUGGGGAACCUUCCACGUUCUCCGUGCCGUAGCUAACGCAUUAAGCGCCCCGCCUGGGGA